rnacentral:rRNA from 1 species
GUGUCAGCAGCCGCGGUAAUACGGAGGGUGCAAGCGUUAUCCGGAUUUAUUGGGUUUAAAGGGUGCGUAGGCGGUAUUUUAAGUCAGUGGUGAAAACUUGCAGCUUAACUGUAAGACUGCCAUUGAAACUGAAGUACUUGAGUUAUCUUGAGGUAGGCGGAAUGUGUAGUGUAGCGGUGAAAUGCUUAGAUAUUACACAGAACACCGAUUGCGAAGGCAGCUUACUAAGGAUACACUGACGCUCAGGCACGAAAGCGUGGGGAUCGAACAGGAUUAGAUACCCUGGUAGUCCACGCCGUAAACGAUGAUAACUCGCUGUUGGCGAUACACAGUCAGCGGCUUAGCGAAAGCGUUAAGUUAUCCACCUGGGGAGUACGCUCGCAAGAGUGAA